rnacentral:rRNA from 1 species
CGCCUCUUGCCUAAAAUAUAAGAGGUCCAGCCUGCCCAGUGACUCUGUUCAACGGCCGCGGUAUCCUAACCGUGCGAAGGUAGCGUAAUCACUUGUUCUUUAAAUGAGGACUAGUAUGAAUGGCACCACGAAGGUUAUACUGUCUCCUCUUUUUAAUCAGUGAAACUAAUCUCCCCGUGAAGAAGCGGGGAUAAACAUAUAAGACGAGAAGACCCUAUGGAGCUUUAAACUAUGUAACACUUGCACUAACCCCAUAAAAACUUCAGAGAAAUCCUCUUUACCCAUGCAAGACUGCUACCAGUUUUAGGUUGGGGUGACCACGGAGCAAAAAACAACCUCCACAUUGAAAGGAAUUUAUUCCUUAGCCGAGAGCCACAUCUCUACGCAUCAUUUCAAUGACAUUAAUUGACCCAAUAUAUUGAUCAACGAACCAAGUUACCCUAGGGAUAACAGCGCAAUCCACUUCAAGAGCUCCUAUCGACAAGUGGGUUUACGACCUCGAUGUUGGAUCAGGGUAUCCCGGUGGUGUAGCCGCUACCAAAGGUUCGUUUGUUCAACGAUUAAAACCCU